rnacentral:rRNA from 1 species
AGUGAACGCUGGCGGUAGGCCUAACACAUGCAAGUCGAACGGCAGCACAGUAAGAGCUUGCUCUUACGGGUGGCGAGUGGCGGACGGGUGAGGAAUACAUCGGAAUCUACUUUUUCGUGGGGGAUAACGUAGGGAAACUUACGCUAAUACCGCAUACGACCUACGGGUGAAAGCAGGGGAUCUUCGGACCUUGCGCGAUUGAAUGAGCCGAUGUCGGAUUAGCCAGUUGGCGGGGUAAAGGCCCACCAAGGCGACGAUCCGUAGCUGGUCUGAGAGGAUGAUCAGCGACACUGGAACUGAGACACGGUCCAGACUCCUACGGGAGGCAGCAGUGGGGAAUAUUGGACAAAGGGCGCAAGCCUGAUCCAGCCAUACCGAGUGGGUGAAGAAGGCCUUCGGGUUGUAAAGCCCUUUUGUUGGGAAAGAAAAGCAGCAGGUUAAUACCCCGCUGUUCUGACGGUACCCAAAGAAUAAGCACCGGCUAACUUCGUG